GACGAACGCUGGCGGCGUGCUUAACACAUGCAAGUCGAACGGACAGGCCCUGCUUUUGUGGGGUGCUCGAGUGGCGAACGGGUGAGUAACACGUGAGUAACCUGCCCUUGACUUUGGGGUAACUUCAGGAAACUGGGGCUCAUACCGGAUAGGAGCUACUGCUGCAUGGGGGGGGUUGGAAAGAUUCGGCGGUGGGGGAUGGACUCGCGGUUUAUGCGCAGGUUGGGGGGGUUGUGGCUGAACAAGGCUUCGACGGGUAGCCGGCCUGGGAGGGUGACGGGCCACAUUGGGACUGGGAUACGGCCAGGACGCCUACUGGAGGCAGGGGCGGGGACUAUUGCGAGAUGGGCGGAAGGAGGAUGGAGCAACGCCGCGUGCGGGAACACGGCUUUCGGGGUGUAAACCGCUUUCGCCUGUGACGACGCGUGAUGGCCGUAACUGGGCAAAGAAGCACCGCCUACUUCCGU
rnacentral:rRNA from 1 species